CGUUCGUAGUUGAAUUUGUGCUUCAUGCAGGUAGUACAACUAUAAUCGUAGUUUGUACAUUACCUUAUGCAUGUAAGCGUAUUAUCGGUGGAGUUCUAAUAUAUAAUAGUAGUUAAUUAUUAUUAUUAUAUAUACCUCCUAUUUGAAACCUACUUCAGUGCUCUUUAUCGAGUG
rnacentral:rRNA from 1 species